GCAGUCGUGGCCGAGUGGUUAAGGUGAUGGACUAGAAAUCCAUCGGGGUCUCCCCACGCAGGUUCAAAUCCUGUCGUCUGUG
rfam:Ixodes scapularis strain Wikel colony gcontig_1108378382890, whole genome shotgun sequence.